AGCGAACGCUGGCGGCAGGCUUAACACAUGCAAGUCGAACGGAUCCUUCGGGAUCAGUGGCAGACGGGUGAGUAACACGUGGGAACGUGCCUUUUGGUUCGGAACAACUCAGGGAAACUUGAGCUAAUACCGGAUGUGCCCUUCGGGGAAAGAUUUAUCGCCAUUAGAGCGGCCCGCGUCUGAUUAGCUAGUUGGUGAGGUAAAGGCUCACCAAGGCUUCGAUCAGUAGCUGGCUGAGAGGAUGAUCAGCCACACUGGACUGAGACACGGCCCAGACUCCUACGGGAGGCAGCAGGU
rnacentral:rRNA from 1 species